rnacentral:rRNA from 1 species
UACGUAGGGUGCGAGCGUUAAUCGGAAUUACUGGGCGUAAAGCGUGCGCAGGCGGUUUGUUAAGACAGAUGUGAAAUCCCCGGGCUUAACCUGGGAAUGGCGGUUGAAACUAGUCGACUAGAAUCUGGCAGAGGGGGGUGGAAUUCCACGUGUAGCAGUGAAAUGCGUAGAGAUGUGGAGGAACACCGAUGGCGAAGGCAGCCCCCUGGGCUGAGAUUGACGCUCAGGCACGAAAGCGUGGGGAGCAAACAGG